rnacentral:rRNA from 1 species
AGCAGUGGGGAAUUUUCCGCAAUGGGCGAAAGCCUGACGGAGCAAUACCGCGUGCGGGACGAAGGCUUUUGGGUCGUAAACCGCUUUUGUUAGGGAAGAAGAACUGACGGUACCUAACGAAUCAGCAUCGGCUAACUCCGUGCCAGCAGCCGCGGUAAUACGGAGGAUGCAAGCGUUAUCCGGAUUUAUUGGGCGUAAAGCGUCCGCAGGUGGUUUAUUAAGUCUGCUGUUAAAGCGUGGGGCUUAACCCCAUAUAGGCAGUGGAAACUGAGAGACUAGAGUACGGUAGGGGUAGCGGGAAUUCCCAGUGUAGCGGUGAAAUGCGUAGAUAUUGGGAAGAACACCAGCGGCGAAGGCGCGCUACUGGGCCGAAACUGACACUCAUG